rnacentral:rRNA from 1 species
GCGGGCGGUUCGCCGCCCGUGACUCUGCGAGAAGUCCAUUGAACCUUAUCAUUUAGAGGAAGGAGAAGUCGUAACAAGGUUUCCGUAGGUGAACCUGCGGAAGGAUCAUUGUCGAGACCGAAAUAUACCGAGCGAUUAGGAGAACCCGUGAACAAGCGACGGCACCCGUCGUCGUGUAAUUGCCGUCUUCAGCGUCGGCCUCAUAAAUGGGGCCACGAUGAAAGAUGGGUAAAAACACAAACCGGCGCAGCUACGCGCCAAGGGAAUACAAAUAUACACGAGCCCGUAUCGGGUUUGUUGGCGUGGAGCGCGGUCGCGCACCACACGAAAAAAAUGACUCUCGGCAAUGGAUAUCUCGGCUCUCGCAUCGAUGAAGAGCGCAGCGAAAUGCGAUACGUGGUGCGAAUUGCAGAAUCCCGCGAACCAUCGAGAAUUUGAACGCAAGUUGCGCCCGAGGCCAUCCGGCCAAGGGCACGUCCGCCUGGGCGUCAAGCGUUACGUCGCUCCUCGCCAUCUCUUAUGGAUGACAGGAUGUGCAGAGUGGCUCGUCGUGCCCGCGGGCGCGGCGGGCUUAAGAGCGGGUGAUCGUCUCGUUGUCCACGAACGACAGGGGGUGGAUGUAAAUUGUGCCUAUGUUGUAUCGUGCCGACGUGAGGAGCGGUUAUACCCAGCGGAUGAUCCCAGUCCAAGCGUUGUUCCAUGGAAUUCGGCUUGGAAUGCGACCCCAGGAUGGGCGAGGCCACCCGCUGAGUUUAAGCAUAUCAAUAAGCGGAGGAGAAGAAACUUACAAG